AUGGAGAGUUUUCAUGACUACAAGAUGGUGAAUAAACGUUCUGUGGUUGAACAAGCUCAUGAGAUACAGUGCAUUGUGAAGGAACUUGAACUCCUUAAAUGUGUUCUACCCGACAAAUUCGUGGCUGGGUGCAUGAUUGCAAAGUUGCCUCCUUCAUGGAGGAAUUUCGCCACAACUCUGAAGCAUAAGAGACAGGAGAUAUCAAUUGAAAAUCUGAUUGCAUCUCUUGAUGUUGAAGAAAAAGCUCGGGCUAAAGAUACCAUUGAAAAAGGAGAUGUAUUUCAAUCAUCUUCGUGGUGGAUUGAUUCGGGUGCUAACGUUCAUGUGUGUGCUGACAUCUCCCUGUUUACUUCUUAUCAGGUCGCAAGGGAUUCUUCCGUCCUAAUGGGGAAUGGGUCACAUGCUUCUGUUCGUGGCAUUGGCACGGUGGAUCUGAAGUUUACUUCGGGAAAGAUCGUGCAACUAAGGAACGUGCAGCAUGUCCCUACUAUGAACAAGAAUCUAGUUAGCGGCUCCCUUCUUUGUCGAGAUGGUUUUAAGGUAGUUUUAGAGUCCAAUAAAGUAAUCGUGUCAAGAUUUGGACAAUUUAUAGGAAAAGGCUAUGAGUGCGGAGGCUUGUUCCGCUUUUCUCUUUCAGAUUUUUGCAAUAAGUCAAUAAACCAAAUUUGUGCUAGUGUUAAUGAUGAUGCAAGUAUUUGGCACUCUCGUUUAUGUCAUAUUAAUUUUGGUUUAAUAUCUCGGCUAUCCAGCAUGAGUUUAAUUCCGAACUUCACAGUUGCCAAAGGUUCUAAGUGCCAUAGUUGUGUGCAAUCUAAGCAACCUCGAAAGCCUCAUAAGGCUGCCGAGGAGAGAAACUUGGCACCUCUAGAACUCAUACAUUCUGAUCUUUGUGAGAUGAAUGGUGUGUUGACAAAAGGUGGAAAGAGAUAUUUCAUGACUUUGAUUGAUGAUGUGACUAGAUUUUGCUAUGUUUAUUUGUUGCAAACUAAAGAUGAAGCAUUAGACUACUUUAAAAUCUAUAAAGCUGAAGUUGAAAAUCAACUAGAGAGAAAGAUCAAGCGUCUUAGGUCCGAUCGUGGUGGAGAGUAUUUUCCAAAAGUUUUUGAUGAAUUUUGUGAGGAACAUGGUAUUAUUCAUGAGAGGACGCCUCCCUAUUCACCUCAAUCAAAUGGAGUGGCUGAGAGGAAAAACCGCACAUUGACUGACUUGGUGAAUGCCAUGUUAGACACUGCUGGUUUAUCUAAGGCAUGGUGGGGGAGGCUCUAUUGA
rnacentral:rRNA from 1 species